rnacentral:rRNA from 1 species
GACGGACGCUGGCGGCGUGCUUAACACAUGCAAGUCGAACGGAAAGGCCCUGCUUUUGUGGGGUGCUCGAGUGGCGAACGGGUGAGUAACACGUGAGUAACCUGCCCUUGACUUUGGGAUAACUUCAGGAAACUGGGGCUAAUACCGGAUAGGAGCUCCUGCUGCAUGGUGGGGGUUGGAAAGUUUCGGCGGUUGGGGAUGGACUCGCGGCUUAUCAGCUUGUUGGUGGGGUAGUGGCUUACCAAGGCUUUGACGGGUAGCCGGCCUGAGAGGGUGACCGGCCACAUUGGGACUGAGAUACGGCCCAGACUCCUACGGGAGGCAGCAGUGGGGAAUAUUGCACAAUGGGCGGAAGCCUGAUGCAGCAACGCCGCGUGCGGGAUGACGGCCUUCGGGUUGUAAACCGCUUUCGCCUGUGGCGAAGCGUGAGUGACGGUAAUGGGUAAAGAAGCACCGGCUAACUACGUG